rnacentral:rRNA from 1 species
CUUGGCGACGAUAGCGUUUUGGACCCACCUGAUCCAUGCCGAACUCAGUCGUGAAACGAAACAGCGCCGAUGGUAGUGUGGGGUCUCCCCAUGU